rnacentral:sRNA from 1 species
GCUGGGUGUGGUGGAGUAUGCCUGUAAUCCCAGUGACAGUGCCUUGGGAGGCAGAAGCAGGAAGAUCAUGAGUUUGAGACCAGCACUGGCAAUUUAGCAAGAUCCUGUUUCAA